GAUGAACGCUGGCGGCGUGCUUAACACAUGCAAGUCGAACGAAGCGCUUUUUUAAGCUUGCUUUUAAAAGUGACUGAGUGGCGGACGGGUGAGUAACGCGUGGGUAACCUACCUCACACAGGGGGAUAACAGUUAGAAAUGACUGCUAAUACCGCAUAAAAUGGCAGUUUCGCAUGAAACAACCAUCAAAGAUUUAUCGGUGUGAGAUGGACCCGCGUCUGAUUAGCUAGUUGGUAAGGUAACGGCUUACCAAGGCGACGAUCAGUAGCCGACCUGAGAGGGUGACCGGCCACAUUGGGACUGAGACACGGCCCAAACUCCUACGGGAGGCAGCAGUGGGGAAUAUUGGACAAUGGGCGCAAGCCUGAUCCAGCGACGCCGCGUGAGCGAUGAAGUAUUUCGGUAUGUAAAGCUCUAUCAGCAGGGAAGAUAAUGACGGUACCUGACUAAGAAGCACCGGCUAAAUACGUGCCAGCCGCCGCCGUAAGAC
rnacentral:rRNA from 1 species